CAGUGGCGAUAGCUGUGGGGUUCCACCUGUUCCCAUACCGAACACAGUAGUUAAGCCCACAUACGCCGAAAGUACUUGGAUGGAAACGUCCUGGGAGGAUAGGUAGUUGCUGGUU
rnacentral:rRNA from 1 species